UGGGAAGUCUGUGAUGAGACAGGAAAUUGCUGGCCCCUGACAGGGGUUAGUGCCCUGGAACUACAGGAAAGCAUGGCCCUCAAAAAGUCCAUACUGACCAUGCAGGGGGGACAUACUCAGGGGACAUUUAGGCUGGAAGGUGACAAACUGACAGAUUUCAACACACACAGGACUUUAUGGAUACGAAAGAUGGAGGAAACAUGAGAAUUGAAUCUUCCUAAAGAUGGAAAUUUUACAGUUUUGAAGAACAUGACAGAAAUGGAGUUGUGACUGCUUUCUAUAUUGACUACGCAUUUA